UCUCCCUCUCUCUCACACACGGUUAUCUCACAACAAUUUUAUCUCUCUCUUUCACACACUCUCGGUUAUCUCACAAUAUAUAUUUAUUAUAUUUCUCUCUGCACGUAUAUAGAUAUAUCAUCUCCAAAAUCAGAUUUCUCUUAAUCUUUUUUUCUGAUUCAGCUUCUAUUUCUCUAUAUCUUUACCUAAAGCUUUAGAAUACUGUGAUUUUCUAUGUGAUUCAGGACUGCGGGAAACCAAUCUAUUUAGCCGAUACACGCUAUCCACACAAAAUUUUAGAUCUAAAUUUUACUGCGGACAUUCAACCAGAUCCAAGAAGAACAAAAUACAGAAGAAGAAAACGGUGAAGUACGACCUGAAAAUUGCAAAAGAAAAUGGAGAAGAAGAAAAUGAAAAAAGAAAAGAAAAGUGAAUUGCAGAAAAAAGGCGCUGAGAUUUGCAAAUAAAAAUGGAGAAAAACCAGCUAUGACAAAAGUCACUCUUUAAACUUCAGUUGCCUGCUGUUGUUCGAUCGGAGAAGGUGGACGACAAGAAUGACGAUGAAUAGCCUCCGAUCUGAAGGAGGAAGUGACACAUGGAUAAAGGAUCUAAGUUUUGGCGUGAUUUGAGAGAAGAGAGAGACGAUGGAGGCGAGAUGUACAAGAGGGGGAGAAAGAGAAAGGCGUAUAGACUAUGGAGGGCGUAUCAGAGGAAGAGAGAAUUGGGCUGAUGAUUUAAGGCCAAAAGAAUUAAAAUAUUUAUAUUUUUAUGAAUAUAGAAUUAAAUUAUGUAUAUUCUCUAAAGAAAAGAAUUAAAUUAUGUAUAUGUAUAAAAAAUAUUUAAUUGAAUGCCAAAUCUUUCUUAAAUUUAAACAAAUUGAGAAUUU